ACCAGCUGACGAGUCCUAAAUAAGACGAAACGCGAGUCCUGGAU
rnacentral:hammerhead_ribozyme from 1 species